UAGGAUCAGGAUACUAAAUCACACAAGACAAGUUCAAUAUAAGAUGAUUUGAUCUUAAAUCGAUUUUGGGAAUCCAUAAAUUUAACCAUUUCGCAUCACCAAUCUUGUCACUUAAAUAAAAAGACAUUUAGUUUAUUAGUAUGUGUCUAGUAAUCAAGUAAGGAUAAACAAAUAUACCUAUUAAGGGUUUUACUAAGUAAAGCAAGAAACCCUAAUUAAUUCAACAUGGCCAUAUCAUUUGUAUUCAGAAUGCCAAAGUUAGUGUAAAUAAUCUUAAAAUACUCUAAUAGUGCGCUUGAAAAAUACACCUACAGCAAUGGCUCCCUAUCAAUACAAAUAAAUAAAUAAAAUAAUUAUAAGAGGAUACAAAUACCCAUAUUUGAUCAGGCGCAUGAAGUUUGAAGCGUAAAACAGGGUUUACUUUACAGUAAAUAAUAUUUUCCCAUGUGAAUACUUACCGUAAAACAUGAACACACACAAUGAUAACGAGCACGUUAUUAUAUUUAAACAUAAUUCAUAAACAGUUUGAUAAAUAUUUACACUUUUUUUUUGUCACGCUGCAGUUAAUUUUAUUCGUACACUUAUACUUUAUAAAUAGAAUGUUUCAACUCUGUGUGAUCUUCCAAAAAAUCAAAAUAAGUUUAUUUAGGCUUACAAGAUACUUAUGUAAAAGCGAUAUUAGCCUGAGGUAGCUUAAAUUAGUUUUGGGAAGAUUACUGUAAACGCAAACAGCAUUAAAUUAGACUGAUAUUAGAACGAUAUUAAAAUAAAUACGCUUAUAAUUUGUGCCCAAAUCCGGGCUUAUACGAUGAUAUAAAAUCAAUAUAAGAGCGAAAAAAUUGUAGUCUUGAGACUGUUGUAAGCGUGUUUUUGCUAGUUGGGAUACCUAUCAUAAUGUAAAAAAGGCAUAAGCAAGGGGGAAGUUUCGUUAGUUAUUCAGAUGAUUAAGUAUUAUGUAACCAAAAAAUAAUAAUUUCAGGUGACUCGGGGUAUGCUCUUGAGCCAUGGCUCAUGACGCCAGUGCUGAAUCCUGCCCCGGGAAGCCCAGAAGCAAGGUAGGUACACGGUCUGGCACUGUCGCGUGCGCAACACGAUCAAGCGUACCAAUGGGUACCUCAAAAACGUAUUCCGGUGCCUGGGCCACGACCGCGUCUUACACUACAGCCCGACGAAGGCAUCGUCAAUAAUAAAUGCAUGUUGCGUAGUAUACAACAUAAUGCAACAUUAUAGAAAUGUUCCCGAGGAAAUCGUAGGAGAUAUUGAUGAAGACGCUCCUCAAGAACUUCCUCAAUGUCAUGCGCAAAACGGACUACUAUUAAGAGUGGCGCAGGAAAAGCGUGCGCGUCUAAUAAAUACAUAUUUUGCUUA